UUGGCGGACGGGUGAGUAACGCGUGGGUAACCUGCCUUAUACAGGGGGAUAACAACCAGAAAUGGUUGCUAAUACCGCAUAAGCGCACAGGACCGCAUGGUCUAGUGUGAAAAACUCCGGUGGCAUAAGAUGGACCCGCGUUGGAUUAGCUGGUUGGCAGGGUAACGGCCUACCAAGGCGACGAUCCAUAGCCGGCCUGAGAGGGUGAACGGCCACAUUGGGACUGAGACACGGCCCAG
rnacentral:rRNA from 1 species